rnacentral:rRNA from 1 species
GGGGAUGACGUCAAGUCCUCAUGGCCCUUACGGGCUGGGCUACACACGUGCUACAAUGGCGGUGACAGUGGGCAGCGACCUCGCGAGAGGAAGCUAAAUCUCCAAAAGCCGUCUCAGUUCGGAUUGUUCUCUGCAACUCGAGAGCAUGAAGUUGGAAUCGCUAGUAAUCGCGUAACAGCAUGACGCGGUGAAUACGUUCCCGGGC